AAUUUUGGUGACUUUUUGGACGACAUACUAAUCCAUGACAUACAGUAUCUGUCAUAGAUCUACAGUUCUAGUUCUAUAUAUGGAAAUAUAUCUUUUUGUCUGAAGGAUUAAAACGUGUUUGUUUUUGUGUUAGCGUCACACAGCAGCAGGCACUAAUUCAUAAGGUUGGACAAAAUAAGUGUUUACUUCAACCCUACUCCUUUUCAAACAUGCAAAAUGCACAGCUCAUGGAGAUUUUCUUUCUUUUUUUCUCUAUAAUUUUUUUCGGUUUUUGUUGUGAGUGGGACAUUCAAAUAUCCCCCUCCCACAACCAGAAUUAAAACACUUCCCAACCUGUGGGAAGUGUUUUAAUUCUGGUUGUAUGCCAUGUUGUUUCUUGUAUGUUUCUUCUAAAAUCAAGAGUAAAAUCUGAAUCAGUAUCAAUAGACUACAUCUUGUUGACUUAUUCUCGAAAAGAAAAUCAUAAAUGUGCCACCACUGGUUUAUACCGCAUUUCCCAAAUUAAGGCUAACAUUAAUUGAAGUAUCAAGAUGUUAAAACAAAACCCAGUGCUGGUGUUGAGCUGCGGGUUCUCUGUUUUCCUUAACAUCAGUGAACAUAACGCCACAGUCAAGUGCAACAGGAUGAAAUCCCAGAAGGUGCGACGGCGUCCAGAAUCCUGUCACGCCUACCACCCAAAGGAGAACGCUAAGGAAUGUGGUGGAGCGACGGCUGUUUCCCUGACUGUCUCCCUCUUCUUCAGCUCUCUGCUCGUCUCACUGCUCGUCCACCACUAGACAUAAACAAGGAACAACGCACCAAUCAGGAUGCUCAAAGGAGAGCAAAAAGAUGAAGGAUGUCACAUUUUUUUUCCCAAAACGAUUUUGUUGACAUGAACUUGACACAUGGGACAGUGGGACAUGUCACAUGUUAUUUUUCCGCUGUUUAGAGAAGCUUCACUCUGUGGUGGAGAUAAAGGGCUAUUUGAUUUUGAUAAAGAACUGAUUUAGACUUAAUUCUUCAGUUUGCAGAUGGGGAAACAGGAGUCCUCACUCUGAUGGAGGAGAUGAAACAGACUUUUGCGGAGAACAUGGAGCACCUCCUGGUGGACAGGUAUCAACAGUGCAGCUUGUGUGUGGAGAACCGUUGCCAUUAUUUACACGAAUGUAGCCAAUUUGUAGCUUUUUUGAUACAGGUGUGUUGUACAAAUAUAGAGUUUUACAUUUAAAUUAUUUAUCAAUAAACAGAUAAAAUGUGGGAAAAGCA